GGGUCUUAAUUGACUUGGUAACGCAGCUAACGCGUGAAGUUGACCGCCUGGGGAGUACGGUCGCAAGAUUAAAACUCAAAGGAAUUGACGGGGACCCGCACAAGCGGUGGAUGAUGUGGAUUAAUUCGAUGCAACGCGAAAAACCUUACCUACCCUUGACAUGGUCGGAACCCUGGAGAGAUCUGGGGGUGCUCGAAAGAGAACCGGCGCACAGGUGCUGCAUGGCUGUCGUCAGCUCGUGUCGUGAGAUGUUGGGUUAAGUCCCGCAACGAGCGCAACCCUUGUCAUUAGUUGCUACGAAAGGGCACUCUAAUGAGACUGCCGGUGACAAACCGGAGGAAGGUGGGGAUGACGUCAAGUCCUCAUGGCCCUUAUGGGUAGGGCUUCACACGUCAUACAAUGGUACAUACAGAGGGCUGCCAACCCGCGAGGGGGAGCUAAUCCCAGAAAGUGUAUCGUAGUCCGGAUUGUAGUCUGCAACUCGACUGCAUGAAGUUGGAAUCGCUAGUAAUCGCGGAUCAGCAUGUCGCGGUGAUACGUUCCCGGUC
rnacentral:rRNA from 1 species